rnacentral:rRNA from 1 species
AGAGUUUGAUCCUGGCUCAGGAUGAACGCUGACAGAAUGCUUAACACAUGCAAGUCUACUUGAAUUUGGGUUUUUAACUUAGGUUUGGGUGGCGGACGGGUGAGUAACGCGUAAAGAACUUGCCUCACAGCUAGGGACAACAUUUAGAAAUGAAUGCUAAUACCUAAUAUUAUGAUAAUAGGGCAUCCUAUAAUUAUGAAAGCUAUAUGCGCUGUGAGAGAGCUUUGCGUCCCAUUAGCUAGUUGGAGAGGUAACGGCUCACCAAGGCGAUGAUGGGUAGCCGGCCUGAGAGGGUGAUCGGCCACAAGGGGACUGAGACACGGCCCUUACUCCUACGGGAGGCAGCAGUGGGGAAUAUUGGACAAUGGACCGAGAGUCUGAUCCAGCAAUUCUGUGUGCACGAUGAAGUUUUUCGGAAUGUAAAGUGCUUUCAGUUGGGAAGAAAGAAAUGACGGUACCAACAGAAGAAGUGACGGCUAAAUACGUGCCAGCAGCCGCGGUAAUACGUAUGUCACGAGCGUUAUCCGGAUUUAUUGGGCGUAAAGCGCGUCUAGGUGGUUAUAUAAGUCUGAUGUGAAAAUGCAGGGCUCAACUCUGUAUUGCGUUGGAAACUGUAUAACUAGAGUACUGGAGAGGUAAGCGGAACUACAAGUGUAGAGGUGAAAUUCGUAGAUAUUUGUAGGAAUGCCGAUGGGGAAGCCAGCUUACUGGACAGAUACUGACGCUGAAGCGCGAAAGCGUGGGUAGCAAACAGGAUUAGAUACCCUGGUAGUCCACGCUGUAAACGAUGAUUACUAGGUGUUGGGGGUCGAACCUCAGCGCCCAAGCAAACGCGAUAAGUAAUCCGCCUGGGGAGUACGUACGCAAGUAUGAAACUCAAAGGAAUUGACGGGGACCCGCACAAGCGGUGGAGCAUGU